rnacentral:rRNA from 1 species
UACAGAGGUCCCAAGCGUUGUUCGGAUUCAUUGGGCGUAAAGGGUGCGUAGGCGGCGCGGUAAGUCGGGUGUGAAAUCUCGGGGCUUAACUCCGAAACUGCAUUCGAUACUGCCGUGCUUGAGGACUGGAGAGGAGACUGGAAUUUACGGUGUAGCGGUGAAAUGCGUAGAUAUCAUAAGGAAGACCAGUGGCGAAGGCGGGUCUCUGGACAGUUCCUGACGCUGAGGCACGAAGGCCAGGGGAGCAAACGGG